rnacentral:rRNA from 1 species
GGAGGAAUAUUGGUCAAUGGGCGCAAGCCUGAACCAGCCAAGUAGCGUGAAGGAUGACUGCCCUAUGGGUUGUAAACUUCUUUUAUGCGGGAAUAACCUCGACCAUGUAUGGUCGUUUGCAUGUACCGCAAGAAAAAGCAUCGGCUAAUUCCGUGCCAGCAGCCGCGGUAAUACGGAAGGUGCGAGCGUUAUCCGGAUUUAUUGGGUUUAAAGGGAGCGUAGGCGGACUAUCAAGUCAGUUGUGAAAGUCAUCGGCUCAACCGCUGAAUUGCAGUUGAAACUGGUAGUCUUGAGUGCACAUGAGGAUGGUGGAAUUCGUAGUGUAGCGGUGAAAUGCUUAGAUAUUACGA